CCUCUGUUGAAAGGGGCUCCGGCACCUCUCCCAUCCACAGCUCUGCCCUUAGUAGCCCCUCCCUCCUCUUGCUUCUUUCCUUCAUGGCAGUAACUGUAACGAUGCAGAGUAUUGACCUAUUUUAUUUUCUCAUACUCUCUGCCUCUGUAUCGUUGGCUUCUGCUAGCCCAGCACCCAGCACCAAGCCUGGCACAUAGUGUGAGCACAAUAACUGUUUGUUAUAUGAAUAGAUGAGUUGGCAGUUUGUCUUUCAACGGACUCACAAAGCUUUCAGCUGACUUAGAGGCCCUGUGAUUGCUCAGUCGAUGGGGAGGAAUUUGAGGCUGGAGAGUCCCGAAGUUGACUUGCGGAUUUCUCUGUGAUUUCUCUACUCUUAGCUUCCCUGAGCCUCCGUGGGCAGACAGUCCUCUUCAUGUAACAUAUGCAGUGAACACCCACGACCCGCCCAGCACAUCUGAAGCCUGCAGUCAACACUGGUUCCGGUCCCAUGGGAGCAGCAUCGGCACCACAUGGGGCCUUCAAGAAUUUCAAGGUGGAUUCUUUACCACUGAGCCACCAGGGAAGCCCUGCAUGUGUUAAUACCUUCUGAUCAUGACAUGGUGACUAACAUGAAUGUUCCUCCGGGUGUCCCUAAAUCACCACGCGAAUUGCCUGGGG
ensembl:lncRNA